ACGGAGCCCGCCGCGUGAGUGAUGAAGGCUUUCGGGUCGUAAAACUCUGUUGUUAGGGAAGAACAAGUGCUAGUUGAAUAAGCUGGCACCUUGACGGUACCUAACCAGAAAGCCACGGCUAACUACGUGCCAGCAGCCGCGGUAAUACGUAGGUGGCAAGCGUUAUCCGGAAUUAUUGGGCGUAAAGCGCGCGCAGGUGGUUUCUUAAGUCUGAUGUGAAAGCCCACGGCUCAACCGGGGAGGGUCAUUGGAAACUGGGAGACUUGAGUGCAGAAGAGGAAAGUGGAAUUCCAUGUGUAGCGGUGAAAUGCGUAAAGAUAUGGAGGAACACCAGUGGCGAAGGCGACUUUCUGGUCUGUAACUGACACUGAGGCGCGAAAGCGUGGGGAGCAAACAGGAUUAAAUACCCUGGUAGUCCACGCCGUAAACGAUGAGUGCUAAUUGUUAGAGGGUUUCCGCCCUUUAGUGCUGAAGUUAACGCAUUAAGCACUCCGCCUGGGGAGUACGGCCGCAAGGCUGAAACUCAGAGGAAUUGACGGGGGCCCGCACAAGCGGUGGAGCAUGUGGUUUAAUUCGAAGCAACGCGAAGAACCUUACCAGGUCUUGACAUCCUCUGACAACCCUAAAGAUAGGGCUUCUCCUUCAGGAGCAGAGUGACAGGUGGUGCAUGGUUGUCGUCAGCUCGUGUCGGGAGAUGUUGGGUUAAGUCCCGCAACGAGCG
rnacentral:rRNA from 2 species